UACAGAGGUCUCAAGCGUUGUUCGGAUUCAUUGGGCGUAAAGGGUGCGUAGGUGGCGCUGUAAGUCGGGUGUGAAAUUUCGGAGCUUAACUCCGAAACUGCAUUCGAUACUGCGGUGCUUGAGGACUGGAGAGGAGACUGGAAUUCGAUGGUGUAGCAGUGAAAUGCGUAGAGAUCAUGAGGAAGACCAGUGGCGAAGGCGGGUCUCUGGACAGUUCCUGACACUGAGGCACGAAGGCCAGGGGAGCAAACGGG
rnacentral:rRNA from 1 species